AGGUUCUUUCUGUGAGAUGUUUUCAUGGUGUGGGAAUAAGACUUGGUGGUCUAAUACAGCUAAUAUAUAGGUAGGUACCAGUAUACAGUUUCGAAAAGAAGAAAGAAAAAAAAAGAUAAAUGUAGUACAUGUAUAAAAAUAAUUAGAUCCAUUUUUUACUUUCCUUGCCUUGAAAUAAUCAAACACUAAAUUUCUGUUAUUUAUUUCUACCCUCUCUUUUGAUAUCAGUACAAAUACAAUGUAUAGUGUAAAUUGAAGGAUCUAACAUGAUUAUUUGGUUUGUUAUGUUGUUGGAUUGCUGUCUAGUCAAUAUGUUCUCAACAUCUAGUACAUGAAUAUAACCCAUUUCUUUUUAAUUUUAAUACAGUAACAAGUGAUCCUUUUAAACCAUUUUAUUAAUAAUAUGACAACAUUUUAUAUUUCAGAUUAGCUUCACAGCUUGUCUGUAAGGAUUGAAGUUGGGAAUGGGCAUUGGAGCUGGCUUUUAUGGUAAGAACCAGUACAUAAAUUAAUGAAUUAUUCAGCAAAGAGCAUGUACAAACCUAGUUCUUCAUUAUGCUAAGAAGUAUUAUACUUUAAUUAUGCAGAGAAGUAGUAUACUUUAAUUUUUCUUAAAACUAUAAUCGUAUAUAUAAUCUGGAAGGAGGACAUUAGGAGGUAUGAAGAUAAAUAAAGGAAAUAAAAAAUUAUACUGUUACUUAGAAAAUCUGUUUUCUAAAAUUGUCCCCAUAUAUAAAGUAAAGAAGAUCAUUGUCAAUGAAAUAACUCUCCCAGAGACCAAAUGACAUGGAUGUAAGCAACUAAUGGUCACUGUAUGGCCUACAACAAUGAGCAAAACAUAUACUUUACAAUUAACUAUGAAACAGAAAGUAGGCGACAUGAAAAAAUGUGAAACAAUUCAAACAAGAAAACCAACAGCUAGAUUUAUGAUGAAACAAUGAAAUAAUAACAAAUAUGUUGGACAACAACCAACUACUUGUCAUCCCUUGUUUGCUAAAGAAGACUGGUUGUUUGUAAAUUCAUGUCAACACAUCACUUUAAAACAAAGUAAAUCAAUUUUCUAUGCAUCAUCAGUGCAAUAACCAGUUACUGAUUCCUUUGCAAUAUUGUUCUGACAGAUAUUAGAAUGCAUAUUUCUUUUUCAGGUGACUUCAACUGUGGCUGCAGGAAAUUAUUGUGCAAUACAACUGAAACAAAAAAGAAUGUAAUUCAGA
rnacentral:lncRNA from 1 species